rnacentral:rRNA from 1 species
AUUGAACGCUGGCGGCAGGCCUAACACAUGCAAGUCGAACGAGUGGCGGACGGGUGAGUACUGUCUGGGAAACUGCACGAUGGAGGGGGAUAACUACUGGAAACUGUAGCUAAUACCGCAUACCAUCGGAUGUGCCCAGAGGGGAUUAGCUAGUAGGUGGGGUAAGGGCUCACCUAGGCGACGAUCCCUAGCUGGUCUGCGAGGAUGACCAGCCACACUGGAACUGAGACACGGUCCAGACUCCUACGGGAGGCAGCAGUGGGGAAUAUUGCACAAUGGGCGCAAGCCUGAUGCAGCCAUGCCGCGUGUAUGAAGAAGGCCUUCGGGUUGUAAAGUACUUUCAGCGGGGAGGCGUUACUCGCAGAAGAAGCACCGGCUAACUCCGUGCCAGCAGCCGCGGUAAUAC